CCUACGGGGGGCAGCAGUGAGGAAUAUUGGUCAAUGGGCUUACGCCUGAACCAGCCAAGUCGCGUGAGGGAAGACUGCCCUAUGGGUUGUAAACCUCUUUUGUCAGGGAGCAACGCCGGCUACGUGUAGCCGGACUGAGAGUACCUGAAGAAAAAGCAUCGGCUAACUCCGUGCCAGCAGCCGCGGUAAUACGGAGGAUGCGAGCGUUAUCCGGAUUUAUUGGGUUUAAAGGGUGCGCAGGCGGAGGCACAAGUCAGCGGUAAAAUCGCGGGGCUCAACCCCGCUCCGCCGUUGAAACUGUGUCC
rnacentral:rRNA from 1 species